ACACGUUCUCGGGGCGGGGUGAGAUUCCCCACCGGCGGUAAUCGUCCAAUACGACGUAGCCCGCGAGCGCUCUGCCAUCGCAACCUGCUUGACGCGAUCGCAGAGGUCAGCAGACCCGGUUGGAUUCCGGGGCCGACGGUAUAGUCCGGAUGAAAGAGAACAGGA
rnacentral:ncRNA from 1 species